GACGAACGCUGGCGGCGUGCCUAAUACAUGCAAGUUGAGCGCUGAAGGUUGGUACUUGUACCGACUGGAUGAGCAGCGAACGGGUGAGUAACGCGUGGGGAAUCUGCCUUUGAGCGGGGGACAACAUUUGGAAACGAAUGCUAAUACCGCAUAAAAACUUUAAACACAAGUUUUAAGUUUGAAAGAUGCAAUUGCAUCACUCAAAGAUGAUCCCGCGUUGUAUUAGCUAGUUGGUGAGGUAAAGGCUCACCAAGGCGAUGAUACAUAGCCGACCUGAGAGGGUGAUCGGCCACAUUGGGACUGAGACACGGCCCAAACUCCUACGGGAGGCAGCAGUAGGGAAUCUUCGGCAAUGGACGAAAGUCUGACCGAGCAACGCCGCGUGAGUGAAGAAGGUUUUCGGAUCGUAAAACUCUGUUGGUAGAGAAGAACGUUGGUGAGAGUGGAAAGCUCAUCAAGUGACGGUAACUACCCAGAAAGGGACGGCUAACUACGUGCCAGCAGCCGCGGUAAUACGUAGGUCCCGAGCGUUGUCCGGAUUUAUUGGGCGUAAAGCGAGCGCAGGUGGUUUAUUAAGUCUGGUGUAAAAGGCAGUGGCUCAACCAUUGUAUGCAUUGGAAACUGGUAGACUUGAGUGCAGGAGAGGAGAGUGGAAUUCCAUGUGUAGCGGUGAAAUGCGUAGAUAUAUGGAGGAACACCGGUGGCGAAAGCGGCUCUCUGGCCUGUAACUGACACUGAGGCUCGAAAGCGUGGGGAGCAAACAGGAUUAGAUACCCUGGUAGUCCACGCCGUAAACGAUGAGUGCUAGAUGUAGGGAGCUAUAAGUUCUCUGUAUCGCAGCUAACGCAAUAAGCACUCCGCCUGGGGAGUACGACCGCAAGGUUGAAACUCAAAGGAAUUGACGGGGGCCCGCACAAGCGGUGGAGCAUAUGGUUUAAUUCGAAGCAACGCGAAGAACCUUACCAGGUCUUGACAUACUCGUGCUAUUCCUAGAGAUAGGAAGUUCCUUCGGGACACGGGAUACAGGUGGUGCAUGGUUGUCGUCAGCUCGUGUCGUGAGAUGUUGGGUUAAGUCCCGCAACGAGCGCAACCCCUAUUGUUAGUUGCCAUCAUUAAGUUGGGCACUCUAACGAGACUGCCGGUGAUAAACCGGAGGAAGGUGGGGAUGACGUCAAAUCAUCAUGCCCCUUAUGACCUGGGCUACACACGUGCUACAAUGGAUGGUACAACGAGUCGCGAGACAGUGAUGUUUAGCUAAUCUCUUAAAACCAUUCUCAGUUCGGAUUGUAGGCUGCAACUCGCCUACAUGAAGUCGGAAUCGCUAGUAAUCGCGGAUCAGCACGCCGCGGUGAAAAGGUUCCCGGGCCU
rnacentral:rRNA from 1 species